AGGCGAGAGGCAUAAAGAACAGACUUGCAGAUGAUUUGAAGAAUCCAAUCAUUAUUUUGAUCAAAUAAUUUAAUAAUUCAGAGCACUGUUAGUUGAAUGAGCGUGUGUGUGUGUGUGUGUGUGUGUGUGUGUGUGUGAACAGCCCUGUCCUUCGGUUCCUGUGACUUCCCUGUGUUUUGGGAUUGAGGCGCCCAUUCCCUCUGUAUGUGUGUUCACAAUUCAUAUAUUGGAUUUCAGUGUAAGAAACUAGUUUGUUUUAAGUUACCAGUGUAAGUCUGGUUUAAGCCCAUGUGAAGGACACUUGCUGACCUGAGGGUUGAGCGCGUGCGUACGAUUAGCUCGUAAUUAAUUUUUUGCAGAACGUUAGUGCUGUUUUCUGUUGCGUUUUUUCCUUAAAAUUCUUAUUUAUUACAAUGAUGCAGAAGGCAAAGGAUCAAGGGAGGCCGACGCCCACCAAGGGAGCUCGCAGUGUUGCAUUGUGGGUAAGGUAAUCGGUCCUGUGCGAUUUCUUGCUGAGGAUAUUCGGAAAAGUCAGCCGCCUCCUGUCCUGGAUUCUUUCCAAAAGACUUUGAUUUUCUGUACAGAAGACUCUUUAAAUCUCACUGGAAAUGUUGAUUGCACUCUGAUUAAUUUUAUUUUGAGAUAAUAUUGUUUGCUAUUUAAAUUGUUUGAAAGACAAUGAGGCGAAGUUGUUCUAUCAACGUUGGCGGGAAAAAGAAGCGGAAGCACUAAAGGGAAAUCGAACCGUUAACUGACACGUUGGAAAAAUGACUUUUGCUUCUUUCUGCUUUUCAAAAUUCUCUCUCUCUCUCUCUGGUGAAAUUUGGUGUAAAUUUUUAUGGACAACUGGAAUUAAGAUUCCGUUUCAUUUUGUCUUCCACUUGAUCGGUCUUGUUUCGUCUGUUCCAGCGCGCCAUUAUGGAAGUACAUCCCUCUCAUCCGGCACAAGCAUGUUUGAUUUGUACUUUUUUUCCUCUGGAAAAUCCAGUGGAGAGUUUUUUUGCUUGUGGAAAAGCACGCUGCAGUUUUUCUUUUCCCUCUGGUUUUAAGACCCGUCCUAUCAGUUUUUCUUAUAAGACGAUGCUGGGGAACAUUCGAAGACGAUUCCGCUGCUGUCACGUCUGUAUGGCUGUUUUAAAGCUACUGUAAUGACACUGAUGGUCCUGAAAGCGCGGGAACGUUGCUUCUGUUUACUUUUGAAUACGCCGCCGGCUGUCUCGUUCUAAAUUUCCUUAAAGAGACAAUUAGGAAAGACAUGAAUCUACUGCUCUUGACCUGUCUGAUGUUAAACAGCUGUUGUAUAUGAUUUAAGAUAUGUCAAUAUGCAUUUUCAGUGUCCAAAGACAACAUUUCACCGCUUAGGAGGAGUUCUGCUUGCCACUUAGACUUUACUAAAAGACUAAUAAUAGUUAUAAAUACAUGUUAAUAAAACAAAAAAUGACUCCUCGUAAUGAAGGAUACAAUUGUAACAAAAAAAUAAUGUAAAAUGUUUACUCUAAUUGUUAAGGUUACUGUAUAAAUGAAAGAUAUCAGUAUUGUCUUCUGUUGAAUGUUUUGCUUUCUUUUUGAAGAUGCCCCCCAUAAGAUGUAUCUUUUAUUGUUCGGGGUCUUAUAGAUUUUCAAAUAAUUGUAUGAAGGUUAAAAGAAAAGUGAAAAUAAAAUUAGUCACCAAUAAAUAAGUGCAAAUAAGUUCUUUGUGGAUGUUUCUUUUUUUUAUGCAUCAUUGAGCCUACUUUACAUGAACACCAAACUAGAAUAAAAUAGAACUUACCUGUGAAAAUGCAAGUCUUUAUGCUUAACAUUAUCAGAAAGACACUUUUGGGCCUGUUAAACAACUUAACACUACAAAAUUACACACCCAUGUGCUUUUUUGAGAUUGUACUGUUUUAAACAGAUUGUUCUGUUUAUUUUUAUCAACUAAAUGCUGUUGCCCAUCAUAGAAUACAUAUGUAG
rnacentral:lncRNA from 12 species